rnacentral:rRNA from 1 species
UACGGAGGGUGCGAGCGUUGUUCGGAAUCACUGGGCGUAAAGGGCGUGUAGGCGGUCCGCUAAGUCUGAUGUGAAAGCCCGGGGCUCACCCCCGGAAGUGCAUUGGAAACUGGCGGACUCGAGUCCCGGAGAGGAGAGUGGAAUUCCUGGUGUAGCGGUGAAAUGCGUAGAUAUCAGGAGGAACACCGGUGGCGAAGGCGGCUCUCUGGACGGUGACUGACGCUGAGACGCGAAAGUGUGGGGAGCGAACAGG